GUGGGGAAUCUUAGACAAUGGGCGCAAGCCUGAUCUAGCCAUGCCGCGUGAUCGAUGAAGGCCUUAGGGUUGUAAAGAUCUUUCGCUGGGGAAGAUAAUGACUGUACCCAGUAAAGAAGCCCCGGCUAACUCCGUGCCAGCAGCCGCGGUAAUACGGAGGGGGCUAGCGUUAUUCGGAAUUACUGGGCGUAAAGCGCACGUAGGCGGACUGGAAAGUUGGGGGUGAAAUCCCGGGGCUCAACCUCGGAACUGCCUUCAAAACUCCCAGUCUUGAGUUCGAGAGAGGUGAGUGGAAUUCCGAGUGUAGAGGUGAAAUUCGUAGAUAUUCGGAGGAACACCAGUGGCGAAGGCGGCUCACUGGCUCGAUACUGACGCUGAGGUGCGAAAGCGUGGGGAGCAAACAGGAUUAGAUACCCGAGUAGUCC
rnacentral:rRNA from 1 species